rnacentral:lncRNA from 1 species
GGGGGGUACAAAUAGACCAAGAGUAGCAGCAUGUUAGCGUACACCAUCCGGAAUCUGUAGUUUUCAGUCCAACAGAGGGUUGUAAAUAGGAACAAUGAGUUUCGACAGUUUUCUCAUAUCACAUGCAUGAAACGUCCUAACUAUAAUUUUCUAUACUACAUGUAUAAAUCAUUCAUCAAAAAUCUCAUUUCACAUUUAUAUU